UACGGGGGGAGCAAGCGUUGUUCGGAUUUACUGGGCGUAAAGGGCGCGUAGGCGGUACGUCAAGUCUGGGGUGAAAUCUUUCGGCUCAACCGGAAAAUUGCCUGAGAUACUGGCGUGCUCGAGGGAGGUAGGGGCAGCGGGAACUGCCGGUGGAGCGGUGAAAUGCGUUGAUAUCGGCAGGAACGCCGGUGGCGAAAGCGCGUUGCUGGACCUCUUCUGACGCUGAUGCGCGAAAGCUAGGGGAGCAAACGGG
rnacentral:rRNA from 1 species